rnacentral:rRNA from 1 species
UACGGAAGGUGCAAGCGUUAAUCGGAAUUACUGGGCGUAAAGUGUGCGCAGGCGGCCGAGCAAGUCGAGUGUGAAAGCCCCGAGCUUAACUUGGGAACUGCGCUCGAAACUACUUGGCUAGAGUGUGGCAGAGGGAGGUGGAAUUCCACGUGUAGCGGUGAAAUGCGCAGAUAUCAGGAGGAACACCAAUGGCGAAGGCAGCUCACUGGGACGGUACUGACGCUGAGACGCGAAAGCGUGGGGAGCAAACGGG